GGAUGUGAGGGCAAUCUGGCUGCAACAUCUGUCACCCCAUUGAUCGCCAGGGUCGAUUCGACUGAUCUGGCUGGCUAGGCAGGUGUCCCCUUCCUCCCUCACCGCUCCAUAUGCGUCCCUCCCGAAACUGCGCGCUCGGUCGAAGAGGACGACCUUCCCCAAUAGAGGCGUACCGUUCUUCGGUCAAGGGUAUACAAGUAGCUGUGCUCCCCUGCUAGAGCAAGCUCCCAAGGUCCAUAUUAUAUCUAGAAGGCACUAAAAGUGUUAAUAGUACUUU
rnacentral:snRNA from 1 species